GACAGAGGGUGCAAACGUUGUUCGGAAUUACUGGGCGUAAAGCGCGUGUAGGCGGCUCUGUAAGUCGGGGUGUGAAAAUCCCCACGGCUCAACCGUGGAAGUGCACUCGAAAACUACAGGGGCUAGAGUCCUGGAGAGGAAGGUGGAAUGCUUGGUGUAGAGGUGAAAUUCGUAGAUAUCAAGCGGAACACCGGUGGCGAAGGCGGCCUCUGGACAGU
rnacentral:rRNA from 1 species